AUCAAGAAGAAUGUUGUGAGGCUUAAUAUCAAAAUGUAAGAUCUGCAUAUCGCAGCCCCGAUGUAGGUAGUCUAUGCCAGAGGCCACUCCAAGAGAUAUGUCAAACAUUUGCUUGUAACUCAAGGAAACAGUUCCUUCUUGCGGAGAUAUGUACUUGUCCAAAGAACCAUUGAGCAUGAACUCAUAAACCAAAGCACGUUUUGAUCCCUCUACGCAGAAUCCAACGAGCUGCACGAUGUUAACAUGAUGUAUUCUUCCAAUUGUCGAAACUUCACUGAUAAAUUCUCCCCCACUCGCCAUAGAUUGGUGCAUCAUCUUCACUGCAACAAAAGGACCACUACGCAGCUUUCCUUUAAAGACAGUUCCAUACGCUCCUUCGCCUAGUUUCUCCUUGAACUUGCUAGUCAUCUUUUUAAUCUCAGAGUAGGAGUAUUUAAUCGGCAAGAGGUUGCUCUGGACUUGCAGGAAGUCUUCAAUGGAUUGAUACAUAGAUAAGUGUCGCCUUCUCAAUUUAUACACUAUUAAUGCAGUCAGGAAAACCAAUCCAAAGAGAAGUCGUAAACCUAGAAUUGAGACUAUACUUAUUCCACCGUACAUUAUAGUAAGAACGCCAUAGUAGUGGAUGCUACAAGGGAGGGGAAGAUCAAACCCCGUGUCAUCGUAGCAGCGGUGGCUGCAAGUAUAACGGUCACCCACAGCAAAACAGUUGCCUUGACUCGCUUCACAUUCUCUGCACAAGAAGGUACGUUUCCAAGAAAGUUCAAAUCCAUAACUCAGGGCACCUUCAAUGCUCGAAAGAGAAGUAUUAUCCCCCGAAAGGCCACGAGCCGAAACCCAGCCCACCAUUUCCAGUCUGCAACUCGCAACCAAAUCCGAAAUCAACAUGCCCUCUCCUACGGCGACAUAGGUAUGGCUCUGGCUCUGUGAUCCACAGAAAGUAGUCUCAACAUAUCGAGAAGAAUUUGCAGUGGCCGAACAAUUGACAUAGAUAAUGGGAAUGAUUGAAAUGCCAAAGUCAAAAGUUGAGGAGAAAGGAUAACUUGUGGUGUGAUAAUUGGGAGAAGAAGUACAGUUACUGUUUUUGUGCUCCAAACCAGGGUCAAUUGCUCUGAUCAAGAACUCAUCAUAGUUGAUUUCGAGUACGUUGUAUUUUCUCGAAUCAAAAGUAAUGACUGUACGGUUGUUCUGGCAAUCAAGCUCGAAUCUUGAAUCUCCACAAUUUCCAGGAUCAGAUUUCAAUCGAAAAGGGAAGUUGAUGUUAUGAAUAUCACCACAAGAAGAAGAACACACACUACUGUUUUGGGCUUCCGAUGUGUUUGUGCAAAAUACAAGUAAUACAACAACAGAAAUUCUUACAAACAUGUUAUCUGCAAAUACACUAUGGAGCAACCAUUUCAUCAGAGGAGCACAACUGCAAUUAACAAGCUAAUUAUCCAAAAUCUGGUUAGGGAUUAGAGAGAAGCAAGGCAAAAAGUCAAAGUUUG
rnacentral:misc_RNA from 1 species